CGGGGCGUGGCGCAGCCUGGUAGCGCGCGUGUUUUGGGUACAUGAGGUCGCAGGUUCGAAUCCUGUCGCCCCGACCA
rnacentral:tRNA from 1 species